ACACAAACUGUUAACGGAGAGAGAGAGGGAGAGAGAGAUGUUGAAGCCUUUGAUUUUACAAGUUGCAGUGAAUAUGAGUGAGUGAAUUACAGUAGGUUUUGUUAGGGUUUUUGCCACUCACAGUUUUUGGCACUGAAACUUCGUCUCCAAGGUAAGUCUUCAACAUGAACUGUGGAGGAAAUGAGGACUUGGAAUAUCGAGCAUCGGCUGUAGGUGACGUGAAUGCAAAUUAUGUUACCGCUUUGCCCCCUAUGAGUCGUUGGUAUGGUCAGAUUUCUGCUCCUGCCGAUAUCAUAAGUAGAGAUGGCGCAAAGGAACAAAUGGUGUGCAACAACCAGAUGAAUUCGGAAGAUUUUUCUGGUUAUAUUUUUAUGUGUAAUGGACGAACAAAACCAGAAUGCUAUAUGUACCGAGUUUUCGGACUUCCUGCUGGAAGAAGGGAAGUUAUUGAGAAGAUUAAGCCAGGGAUGAAGCUAUUUCUGUUUGACUAUGAGGUGAAGUAUCUUUAUGGGGUAUACGAAGCAACCACUGCUGGAAAAUUGAACUGGGACACAGCUGCUUUUGGUGGGAACUUCCCUGCACAGGUGAGAUUCCAUAUCUACAAGGAAUGUCUUCCUCUGCCAGAGAGUUGUUUCAAACAUGCUAUUCGAGAUAACUACCAGACAGGCUCCAAAAAAUUUAAUCCAAUUCUCAGUAGCCAACAAGUAAGUCAUCUAGUAUCAAUGUUCAAUCCUCUUACAAAGCCGUCAUCUGCUAAAUAUGACCAUUACCCUGUAAAGAAUCAAUUUCAAUCCCAUUCAAGGCUUCCUCCUCCAAGUUAUCCAUACUUUAACUUGAUAAACACCAGUCAUACUCCAAAAGCGUCACUGCCUCCAAGCUAUUCUUCCAUGUAUGGCAGACUUACUUCACCAGCCUUGGAGCCUCAGUGUACUCAAACGAGUGUCCUGCAGCCAGAACAUGUUGGUUAUGGAUAUGCACCACAGAUGGGCUACAUUAAUCCUGCAGUGCAACCGCAAGCCAAUUCAGCUCCAUAUCAGACAUCUUAUACUGUAGAAGCUGGGCAGCCGUACUUGCAUGGAGUACCCAAAUCAUAUGAAAGGUAUGAGGCUGCUGCACAGGCUAUGGUUCCUACUCAUCAAUACACUGACUGGAGAUAUGAGUACAAUCAGUUACCGUCACAGACCCAUAUGCAGAUGCAGGAGAAUGCUGCUCAACACCAGAGUCUCUAUCAAGUGCCUGCAGCCCAUCAUGUUACACAGCCUAUACAACAACACGCAUCGAGAUUCGAAGAGCCUGGGCCUGCUGUGAGGACUCUUCCCAUUAGAUCAUCAAAUACCUGGACUCUGCAAAUUUAAACUGGCAAGAUGAUGCGUAGAUUAGCUUUGAGUGAUGCUGCAGCAUUUCACUUGAUCGAAAUCAUAGUACUCAUUUGAACUGGAUUUCAAGUCUUUACUUGAAUUAUUAAAGAGCUGGAAAAGAGGCGUUGAAGUGGGCCAGAAAGACUUGUGCAGUCGUCAAUGAGAUUUUUUUUUUCUUUUCGUUUUUGUUUGGGCCAGUUGUUUAGUUUAAUGCUCUAUCUUUUUAAGGACUCUAGCACUAAGUCUAUAUAAUCAUCAUAUCUUGUUCUGCUUUUAUGGGGUUAGUAGUGAGCAGGUAUCCAAUAACAGCAUAUUAUGCUACCUAAACAGGCAUGCAUGGCCCUUUUCACUUUA